AUAGGGCUCUGGUCUAAAGUUGUGCACUAGAUAGGGAAUAGGGCUCUGGUCUAUAGUAGUACCACUAUAUAGGGAAUAGGGCUCUGGUCUAAAGUUGUGCACUAGAUAGGGAAUAGGGCUUUGGUACUCUAGUAGUAGGAUGACACAUCCAUAUACUGGGUCACAUUAUUUAGUUUAGCUGCUGUUCACUCUCAGUGCCUCCCUCUACCACUCAUCCACCAUAGAAUGUUCCUACUGGCCAACUAACCACCUCUACUCCCAUCUACCAUAGAACGUUCCUACUAACCACCUCUACUCCCAUCUACCAUAGAACGUUCCUACUGGCCAACUAACCACCUCUACUACCAUUUACCAUAGAACGUUCCUACUGGCCAACUAACCACCUCUACUACCAUUUACCAUAGAACGUUCCUACUAACCACCUCUACUCCCAUUUACCAUAGAACGUUCCUACUGGCCAACUAACCACCUCUACACCCAUCUACCAUAGAACGUACCCUACUGGCCAACUAACCACCUCUAUUCCCAUUUACCAUAGAAUGUUCCUACUGGCCAACUAACCACCUCUACUCCAAUCUACCAUAGAACGUACCCUACUGGCCAACUAACCACCUCUACUCCCAUCUACCAUAGAACGUUCCUACUGGCCAACUAACCACCUCUACUCCCAUCUACCAUAGAACGUUCCUACUGGCCAACUAACCACCUCUACUCCCAUCUACCAUAGAACGUUCCUACUAACCAACUAACCACCUCUACACCCAUCUACCAUAGAACGUUCCUACUGGCCAACUAACCACCUCUACUACCAUUUACCAUAGAACGUUCCUACUAACCACCUCUACUCCCAUUUACCAUAGAACGUUCCUACUGGCCAACUAACCACCUCUACUCCCAUUUACCAUAGAACGUUCCUACUGGCCAACUAACCACCUCUACUCCCAUCUACCAUAGAACGUUCCUACUAACCACCUCUACUCCCAUUUACCAUAGAACGUUCCUACUGGCCAACUAACCACCUCUACUCCCAUCUACCAUAGAACGUUCCUACUAACCACCUCUACUCCCAUCUACCAUAGAACGUACCCUACUGGCCAACUAACCACCUCUACUCCCAUUUACCAUAGAACGUAUCCUACUGGCCAACUAACCACCUCUACACCCAUCUAACAUAGAACGUUCCUACUGGCCAACUAACCACCUCUACUCCCAUCUACCAUAGAACGUUCCUACUGGCCAACCAUCCUCUAUACAGCUCCAGCUAUCACCAGACAGACCUGGAUCAAAUACUUCUAAAUACUUGAGCUGAUUCUGUUUGCCUUGUUCAAUGGGACCAACAGAAUAGUCCCAAAAGUGCAAACCCACCAAGCUAAAUCACGCGCACCUCAAAAUACUUGGAAAUACUUUUAAAAUUAUUUCCCCGUCUUUUCUCAAAUAUGAAGUAUUUAAAAGUAUUUUUAGACACAGUUAUGUACUUUUUGGCCAGAUCUGAUCUGGCUAUUAUCACGUUGUCCAGGGUUCUCACAGUCUGUCACAUUAAAGCCUGUUUACACCAAGCUGCCUCUUACUUCAACACAGUGCAUGGCUUUCUACUUCAUUCAUAUAGUCCCAACCAAAAUGAUUAUUAUGCCUUACUAGGUCGUAGCUAGGUCAUUAUUAUUAUGCCUUACUAGGUCGUAGCUAGGUCAUUAUUAUUAUGCCUUACUAGGUCGUAGCUAGGUCAUUAUUAUUAUGCCUUACUAGGUCGUAGCUAGGUCAUUAUUAUUAUGCCUUACUAGGUCGUAGCUAGGUCAUUAUUAUUAUUAUUAGUAGUGGUAGAUAUCUGUUCUGCUGAGGUCUGCUUGUUCCAUAUUAACCCCUUCAUGUAUAUCCUCUCUCUCUAUAAGCCACCCGCUUUAGGCAGAGGAACGUAUGUAAACGUUGAGGCUCCCAGAUCUGCCUCUAAUGUAGUGAUAUUACUAUAGCCUGGUCCCAGAUCUGCCUCUAAUGUAGUGAUAUUACUAUAGCCUGGUCCCAGAUCUGCCUCUAAUGUAGUGAUAUUACUAUAGCCUGGUCCCAGAUCUGCCUCUAAUGUAGUGAUAUUACUAUAGCCUGGUCCCAGAUCUGCCUCUAAUGUAGUGAUAUUACUAUAGCCUGGUCUCAGAUCUGCCUCUAAUGUAGUGAUAUUACUAUAGCCUGGUCUCAGGUCUGUUUUCUGUUUUUGCCUCGUCCAUUGUCAAGCCAAACCAUGUUUUACAUGACAGUUCCUUAUGGAGUUGGGAAGAGAGCACAAACAGACUGGCACCCAGGCUAAUAUUACUACCACCAGAAACAGAACUAAAAUGACAUUCCUGGUGUCACUAAUGUCACUACAUCUCCUGUAUACGGACGGGAUGUUUACGUACAAACCCAAUGCCAGGGUUGGGGUGAAUUCCAUUUCAAUUCCAGUCAAUUCUGGAAGUUCGAAUUUCUCUUUUCAUUGAAAACAGUUUUUUGUGAAUUGUUUACUUUUACGAAUUGAAAUGGAAUUUGCCGCCGACCCUGGCGCUCGCAUCCAAGAGGCAGGAAACGGACAGGGUUGGCUUACAAUCGUAGGAUUAUAGGACAACGUGUAAACUACAUUUAGUCUCUAAAUGUUUAUUGAAAAACCAUAAAUCAGUUUACAUUUACAUUACAUUUAAGUCAUUUAGCAGACGCUCUUAUCCAGAGCGACUUACAAAUUUACAUCAUCGUUGUAACGUUGCCAGGUAACCCAUCUAUAGUUCCACUGUCUCAUCACUGAUCCUGCUAAGUCACGUUACUAAUAUUUCAGAGUUAGCCUGGUUAAACCAGACUCGAGUGCUGCGCUCCCCAUUUGAAACAACAGUGAAAUGUAGCUCGAUCAGUUGUGAUUUCAGGCUAACUCAGUGUGUUCUGUGAAACUCCUACCGUUAGCUGUCUCUGUGUGUGAUGGUGGUAUUGUAACCAUGGAAAUAUAGCGCUUGAGGCCCUGUGUAUGUGCGUGCGUGUGUAUAGAAGCAAAGGUAGGUAGCUGUUGAGUGUGUGAGUCCGUCUGACAGUACCAAUGGCGUUAUCUAACAGACGGUACUGUCAGCCUGUCAACGCACAACUAGAGCACCAUAUUCCCUAUCUAGUGCCCUACUGUUGACCAGGGCACAUAGGGAUUUGGUGAAAAGUAGUGCUCUAUAUAGGAUACCAUUUCGCACUAGCAGUCUAUGGAAGUGUAGAGAAGUGAUUGUUUUUGUCCUCGUUUGAAAAUUGAUUUCAAGCCUUCUCAUAUACCUCCAUUGUUUUUUAGUUUUUAAUGAACUGUGUUUUUUGGUUCAUGAUUGUGGUUGAAUUAUAAUGAAAUGCUGUCACUAUAACUGAUUGUAAUUCCAUUGUAAAACAUUUGAAAAGUCAAACGAUGUAAUUUCAAUGCAUUUUUGAGGAUUGUGUGUGUGUGUGUGUGUGUGGGGGGGGGUGUAGUCGAAACGGACGGUUUUAUGUGUUGUACAGAUUGAUCAAUUGUAUAAUUGUGUUUUUGUUUAAUCUUAAGUUAUCAAUUCAUCUUAAUAAAACGCACCGGUCAUAAACA